rnacentral:piRNA from 1 species
UAGCCCUUACAAAUNUUAGUCUAUUUGCGA